CCAGACUCCUACGGGAGGCAGCAGUGAGGAAUAUUGGUCAAUGGCCGAGAGGCUGGACCAGCCAAGUCGCGUGAGGGAGGACGGCCCUACGGGUUGUAAACCUCUUUUGUCAGGGAGCAAGGGACAGGUCGUGACCUGUUGUGAGAGUACCUGAAGAAAAAGCAUCGGCUAACUCCGUGCCAGCAGCCGCGGUAAUACGGAGGAUGCGAGCGUUAUCCGGAUUUAUUGGGUUUAAAGGGUGCGUAGGCGGAUUUUUAAGUCAGCGGUAAAAUGUCCGGGCUCAACCCGGGCCGGCCGUUGAAACUGGGGAUCUUGAGUGGGCGAGAAGUAUGCGGAAUGCGUGGUGUAGCGGUGAAAUGCAUAGAUAUCACGCAGAACUCCGAUUGCGAAGGCAGCAUACCGGCGCCCGACUGACGCUGAGGCACGAAAGCGUGGGGAUCGAACAGGAUUAGAUACCCCCGUAC
rnacentral:rRNA from 1 species